GACAAGGGGGGUGAGGAUUGGAGCUGCCCUGGGACUGCCCUACUCUUACACUGUAGUUUGGAGUGUGGGGUAACACGCACGUGUCCUCCCAACUCUGCCCAUGGCUCAGGGCUUCUCAGGGCUUCAACCCUGCUGCUCCCAGCUUCAGCCCAGUAGGGGGGCACCAGGGAUCGGGGCUUCAACUCCGUGGGGUUGCCGGGGACCAGGCUCUGGAUUUUAGCCAUGGGGCCUGUGGCCCCCCUGAAAGGAUUCACGGACCCCUACGGGGCCACAGACCCUCUGAGAACUGCUGUCAUAGAAGACACAUCUCUAGUUUCUCUCUUUGGGAAGGAAGAUCUGUAGCCAGUCCAUAUCUAGUGCAGAAGCCUGACCUGCUAAAGCAGUCCUGCAAUCUACAGUGAAGAAGACAUACACGACAUGGUGUCAAGAGUAAAUUAAUGCCAUAGGAGAAUGGCAACAGAAGGAAACAGAAAUAAAGAUUCUUCACUGCCCCAGAGAACUUCAGCUUUGAUUGUCCAUCCAGAAGGUCUGACAUAGAAGCAACAUUUUGCAAGUUUUCGUAUUUCUACAAAACUCCAUAAGGAAACUGGAGAUAUUCAGAACAACUAGUGUUGGACAAUGGACCAUGGUUCACCACAAGAGUAUGUAAGUUAUUCCAAGUGAAAUAUGAUUUUGAUAUGAUUACUAGUGGCCCACGUUACCCAUAAGCGGGUGGAGAGGCUGAGAGCUGUAUAGACAGCCAAGAAAAUCCUAUAGCAAGAAGAUCCAUUCCUUGCUCUUCUCAACUACAGAUCAAAACUCAUAAUAGCUCCUGAUGGGAAGAUAACUGAGAACUACUGUUCUGACUUUGAAAAAGAAUCUUAAUGUCUGGCCACUUAGAAUACAGAGUACGCAAACUGGAUAAAAAGGCAAGAAGAACU